rnacentral:tRNA from 1 species
AAAAAUGGAGAGUAACCGCCCUCCUUAAGACU